rnacentral:lncRNA from 1 species
CCCCACUCACUCUACAACAGCACACACUGUCACACUCGUGAAAAAAGAAGUCAAAUACAUCUUCAUCUUCAACCUCUCUCCUUUGCCGACAAAAACUCUCCCCUUCACCUGCAUCAUAACCAUUACCAUCACAAAACCCAUAAGCACCCACUAAUUAAAAAACGCAACUAAUUAACCAUUAUUUUCUCUCCAUCAAACCAAAGAAACACAGGCCCAUUUCCUUAACUCUCUCAGCGACACAGCACACCAGCCACCACUCCGUUGUCCCCUCCACGUCGACGGUGGAGGACCCAACCGAACCAACAAUGGAAAAAGCUCUUUUCUCCUUGACACCGACCGAAAAUCAACCCAACAGUAACUCCAUCUCGCACCAUUUUCCCGGCCUUGAACCACUACUGUAGCCACUACCACCUGAAAACAGACCUCACAAUGUCAUUUCAAUCUCCCAAACCAACCCUUUUUUGUAGCUACUGCCAGUGGUUUUCUUCUGAUAAACCAUCACCCACAACCAGAAGUUUGUUGUCUUUUUUUCCCAUAAUAGGUCUCGGCGCUUUUUUUUUAGGUUAAAGAAGACACGUGAGUACUACUUACACGCACCGUUGUUGUCAAGGAACACCCAUAGACCGCGCAUGCCAUCCACACGCCGACACUAUCACACCAUCUCCAGCAUAUUCUGGCUAAUACCCAGUUUCCAUUGGAGGUUGAAUUCAUGAACCUCAAGCAUAGUUAAUUCAUGUGUCUUCAUCAUGUUUCUAUGACAAGGACCAUCAACUUUCAAUAACACAAGAAUAUUACGCCAAACUAUUACGAGAAAACCUCUUCGUUCAGAGGUGACACAAUUGCCAAACUUAUAGGCCCAGUUUGGAAAAUCUUUCACUGGUGUUCAUCAUCGGAGAAGAGGGCAGCUCAGGCCGCUUCGAAUGAUGAAUCCAACAGUCAUGAACUUUUGAUAUUAAAUCCAGUCAAACCACAAUAUCUCCAGGUAAUAAAUUAUUCCCCCUUCGGUCACUCA